GAUGAACGCUAGCGGCAGGCCUAAUACAUGCAAGUCGGACGGGAGUCAGGAGCUUGCUUCUGAUGAGAGUGGCGCACGGGUGCGUAACACGUAUGUAACCUACCUUUAUCAGGGGGAUAGCCUCUCGAAAGAGAGAUUAAGCGCUCAUAAAAUCACAGCACAGCAUUUUGUAAUGAUCGAAUAUUUAAAGGAUAAAGAUGGGCAUGCGGAACAUUAGCUAGAGGGCGGGGUAACGGCACACCAUGGCGACGAUGUUUAGGGAAUCUGAGAGGAGGGACCCCGACACUGGUACUGGGACACGGACCAGACUCGUGCGGGAGGCAGCGGUAAGGAAUAUUGGUGCAUGGGCGUAAGCCUGAAACAGCCAUGCCGCGUGGAGGAAGACGGGCCUACGGGUUGUAAACUGCUUUUAUAAAGGAAUACACCCAGAUACGUGUAUCUGGCUGAAUGUACUGUAAGAAUAAGGAUCGGCUAACUCCGU
rnacentral:rRNA from 1 species